rnacentral:rRNA from 1 species
GGCGAAAGCCGGAUUAAUACCGCAUACGACCUGAGGGUGAAAGCGGGGGAUCUUUGGACCUCGCGCUAUUGGAGCGGCCGAUGGCAGAUUAGCUAGUUGGUGGGGUAAAGGCCUACCAAGGCGCCGAUCUGUAGCUGGUUUGAGAGGACGACCAGCCACACUGGGACUGAGACACGGCCCAGACUCCUACGGGAGGCAGCAGUGGGGAAUUUUGGACAAUGGGCGAAAGCCUGAUCCAGCAAUGCCGCGUGUGUGAUGAGGGCCUUCGGGUUGUAAGGCACUCUUGGCGGGAACGAAAGGGACUGUGCCA